GUCUGGAUCUGGAAUAGAAUCAAACACUUGUUUAUCCACCUGCCAUAACUACUUAUGGAGGGCCUGGAUAUAUAUUGUAAUUGGAGUGUCUUGUGGGCACAUCCAAACAAAAUUUCAAAAGGGGAUAGACCAUUUCUUGGCUGAGGGGUGAAUCUCAUAGAGACGAGUGCUAGGGGAAGGCAUUCAGACCAAGGCUUACCUGUCUCUUGCACGGCUUUUGCAAUUUUAUUCUUUAGGUUGCCAUUUGCCCUUUCUACUUUCCCACUACUCUGGUGGACAUAGGGGGUGUGGAAGGCCUGACUGAUCCCUAGUGCCUUCAUUAUUUCUUGCAUUAUUUCCCCAGUGAAUUGGCUACCUCUGUCACUUUCAAUCACUUCAGCUACCCCAUAUCUACAUACCAGUUCCUUCAGAAGCUUACCCGCUGUGGCUUUC